rnacentral:rRNA from 1 species
UAAUACAUGCAAGUCGAACGCUUUUUCUUUCACCGGAGCUUGCUCCACCGAAAGAAAAAGAGUGGCGAACGGGUGAGUAACACGUGGGUAACCUGCCCAUCAGAAGGGGAUAACACUUGGAAACAGGUGCUAAUACCGUAUAACACUAUUUUCCGCAUGGAAGAAAGUUGAAAGGCGCUUUUGCGUCACUGAUGGAUGGACCCGCGGUGCAUUAGCUAGUUGGUGAGGUAACGGCUCACCAAGGCAACGAUGCAUAGCCGACCUGAGAGGGUGAUCGGCCACACUGGGACUGAGACACGGCCCAGACUCCUACGGGAGGCAGCAGUAGGGAAUCUUCGGCAAUGGACGAAAGUCUGACCGAGCAACGCCGCGUGAGUGAAGAAGGUUUUCGGAUCGUAAAACUCUGUUGUUAGAGAAGAACAAGGAUGAGAGUAGAACGUUCAUCCCUUGACGGUAUCUAACCAGAAAGCCACGGCUAACUACGUGCCAGCAGCCGCGGUAAUACGUAGGUGGCAAGCGUUGUCCGGAUUUAUUGGGCGUAAAGCGAGCGCAGGCGGUUUCUUAAGUCUGAUGUGAAAGCCCCCGGCUCAACCGGGGAGGGUCAUUGGAAACUGGGAGACUUGAGUGCAGAAGAGGAGAGUGGAAUUCCAUGUGUAGCGGUGAAAUGCGUAGAUAUAUGGAGGAACACCAGUGGCGAAGGCGGCUCUCUGGUCUGUAACUGACGCUGAG